AAAACAUCAGCUGUUGGACUCAGAAAAUCGUUCCGUUUUCCUACAGAGAAACACAAAAUCUUCCUGAGUCUGCGAAGGUUUAAAUUUGAUGAGGAGACAAGGAUGCCUCCGAUGGAGCAGGAAGCAUUACCGCAAGCUGGCGUUGCUAGGGAGCAUCUGGAUACAUAGGGGAUUGAGAAUGACAGCAUCCAUCAGAGACCCACUGUUUCUCACCUGAAGAAACACAGAGCUGGAACCUCCUAUCUUGGACUUCAUUCUGCCUUCCCUAAGAGACAUGUUGGCAGUGCUCCAGCAUCCCAGCAGCAAGGCAGACAGACAG